GAUGAACGCUGGCGGCGUGCCUAAUACAUGCAAGUCGAGCGAACGGACGAGAAGCUUGCUUCUCUGAUGUUAGCGGCGGACGGGUGAGUAACACGUGGAUAACCUACCUAUAAGACUGGGAUAACUUCGGGAAACCGUAGCUAAUACCGGAUAAUAUUUUGAACCGCAUGGUUCAAAAGUGAAAGACGGUCUUGCUGUCACUUAUAGAUGGAUCCGCGCUGCAUUAGCUAGUUGGUAAGGUAACGGCUUACCAAGGCAACGAUGCAUAGCCGACCUGAGAGGGUGAUCGGCCACACUGGAACUGAGACACGGUCCAGACUCCUACGGGAGGCAGCAGUAGGGAAUCUUCCGCAAUGGCGAAAGCCUGACGGAGCAACGCCGCGUGAGUGAUGAAGGUCUUCGGAUCGUAAAACUCUGUUAUUAGGGAAGAACAUAUGUGUAAGUAACUGUGCACAUCUUGACGGUACCUAAUCAGAAAGCCACGGCUAACUACGUG
rnacentral:rRNA from 1 species